rnacentral:tRNA from 2 species
GCUCGGGUGGUGGAAUGGCAGACACACCAGAUUUAGGUUCUGGCGCCGCAAGGUGUGCGGGUUCGACUCCCGCCCCGAGCACCC